ensembl:lncRNA
UCGUCCAUAGUUUGUUGCUUCCCUCUGGGCUCUGAUUUCCACAGUUUCUCUCUGUUUUGGAUUCCCUCAACACUCUACAUUUGGACUUAGUUUUUCCCUUCCUGGAUUCUGCAGUUUGAUUCUGUUUGCCCCUGGAUUGCCCCAACCUACUGCCCCCUCUGUUGCCAGUUACCCCCCCGUCUUGUGUGGUUCAGCAGUGCAGUGGCUGCAGCAGGAGAUCCUCAUCACUAAUCAUCAUCAGCCUGGAGCAGGAGCAGGAGUUCUGGUUCCACCUGUUCCUGCUGGUUCCUACAGAUUCCGUCAUCAGCUCCAGUUCUGGUGCCAUUCAGCGUCCUGGAAAUCACUCAUCUGUGUUGUUUCUACCUCAUGGUGUUCCUCCACACUCUCCUGCUGCUGCAUCUCGACAACCACCACCUGGACACCGGCCUGCAGCCUAGAACUACCUUCCUCCACGGUUGUGUACCCAGUCCGAGCAUCUCAUAAUUGUUUUUUGUGAGUUAAUUCAAGUUUCGCAGUUUCGUGUACCCGUUAGUUUCCUGGUUUAGUUCCUAGUUCUAGUAAUCAAGUAAUUUUGAGUUAUUGUCUUUCUUGCCUGGGUGUUACCCAACCUGAGUUAGUUUAUUAGAAUUUUGUAGUGAAUCCUCCUCACCUAUAGUAGUCGCCAUAGGUUGGCAAUCUAUUUUCGUUGAUGUACUUCCUGUUGUAGUUCUCAGCUUACGAUUUGUAGUUCCUCUAAGUUUUUGUAAAUAAAC